GACGAACGCUGGCGGCGUGCCUAAUACAUGCAAGUCGAGCGAGCGGAACCAACAGAUUUACUUCGGUAAUGACGUUGGGAAAGCGAGCGGCGGAUGGGUGAGUAACACGUGGGGAACCUGCCCCUAAGUCUGGGAUACCAUUUGGAAACAGGUGCUAAUACCGGAUAAUAAAGCAGAUCGCAUGAUCAGCUUUUGAAAGGCGGCGUAAGCUGUCGCUAAGGGAUGGCCCCGCGGUGCAUUAGCUAGUUGGUAAGGUAACGGCUUACCAAGGCGACGAUGCAUAGCCGAGUUGAGAGGGUGACCGGCCACAUUGGGACUGAGACACGGCCCAA
rnacentral:rRNA from 1 species